rnacentral:rRNA from 1 species
AGCGAACGCUGGCGGCAUGCUUAACACAUGCAAGUCGCACGGGGGUUUCGGCCUUAGUGGCGGACGGGUGAGUAUCGCGUAGGGAUUUAUCCAUGGGUGGGGGACGAACUCUGGGAAACUGGAGCUAAUACCGCAUGAUGCCUGAGGGCCAAAGGCUUAGGUCGCCUGUGGAGGAGCCUGCGUUCGAUUAGCUUGUUGGUGGGGUAAUGGCCUACCAAGGCGAUGAUCGAUAGCUGGUCUGAGGGGAUGAUCAGCCACACUGGGACUGAGACACGGCCCCAGACCCCCUACCGGGAGGCAGCAGUGGGGAAUAUUGGACAAUGGGCGCAAGCCUGAUCCAGCAAUGCCGCGUGUGUGAAGAAGGUCUUCGGAUUGUAAAGC